GACAUUCAGAUACUUAUUUGAAGCCAGCAUACACCAGGAGGAAGCAAAACCAACCAGCCCCCAGCAGAGAGACAUUGAGAUGAAAAGACUACUCCGUGUGAUCUUCCUCCUGAAGAUUUUCUCAAGUCUGUCCCAUGCAGUGACCGUGACUCAGAACAAAGACUUUAUAUUGCUGACUGCUGGAAGCAGUAUGGAAGAAAUGUCCUGUACGCAUGAUGCCACCGGCAGCUACACUAUGCUCUGGUACCAGCAAAAACCAGGAGAAGGCUUGGUGCUUAUUGCAAUAUCAUUAUCAGAGGAUGAUGCCAACCCAGAAAAGGAUUUUAAGGAAACAUGGAUAAUUACUCGGCCAAGUAAUACAAAUUCUACGCUAAAACGGAAUGGGACAGUGAACAUCCAUGACUCUGCCACGUAUUACUGUGCAGCCAGUGACACAGCCAUAAGAAGCUGUGAGACAGCUAUCACAUAA